ensembl:lncRNA
CACAAGUAGAAUUUCCACAAGCUGAGGUAAAUACUGAUAUAGUGCACAGUGGCAUUCAAAAAAAAACACAAAACUGUUACCAGGUAUUAGGUAUCCUAUUGUUUAAAAAUAUCUUUAUAUUGAGAAUAUUUUAUGCUUCCUUGACAAUUUCACUUGCACUUACUAAGGAGGCAGGAAAAUGAAGGAAGGAAAAAGAAUGAAGUUGAACAAGCUAAUGCAAAAUUUAAAUAGUAAUUUGUUUGGAACUUUUACUUGUAUGAUUUUACCUUUAUCGGGAAACAUGCUUCUGUUUAAUUAUAUCUUGGCCAAUUUAAAAAAAAAAAAAAAGUAAAAAAAUUUACUUCUGAGCGUGAUAUUAUAAUUUCAUUUUCUUUAAUAAUAAUGGUUGCAUCAGAAAUAAGCACUGGAAAUAACAUUUAAAUAACGUGGGUGAAGCGAAGCCUUCAAUUUGAUGUACUGAAAACAGAUUUAAACUUUGUAAUCGUCAGAUGGAAAUGAGUAGUAAUUGUAAUUAAGUUCUCCAGAAACACUUUUUUCGGAGUGUGCAUCUGAAAAAGUGACAUUUGUGCAUGUAUUUUAAAAAAAAAUCGCAUUGGUUAAAUCCAUAAGAAUUUGAGCUUGGCUCUGGUGGGAUUUAAAGAGAGGCUUCUGAAAUACUUAGUGAGAUGUUAAAUUGUUUCUGGUAAUUGUUAACAUGUUACAGUGGCAGGGAAAGUCCCACAGUGCAAAACAUCUCAGCAAACUCCAUGUUGAAAUGACUUGUGCUCCCAUUUCCUUCUUAACUUGUAGACUACACUGUUUCAAGAUGAAAUGUCCCCAAGCAUUCCAAAGCUUGGAUUUCCGUUUUGUCAAUUUCGGCAACAACGUCACUACUGGGAUUGAAGCCUCUGCCUGCUUUCCCUUAUCUCCAAUGAACAGACGUGGGAGCUUCACGCUGAUUCCUGCCUAUAACGAAGAGGUGAUGUGUCUUCAUGUGUCAGUACUGAUUUCACAACACAGCCUUCAGCUAAAGCCUCUUAAGGCUUCAGUAAGUGAACCAUGAGUCCCAGAAACAGAACCUGCUCUUCCUCCAUUCUCUAAGCAUGCAGCUCAUCAUCCUUUAUCAGACAGCCUUCUUGUUUGUU